UGGCAAGGACCUCGGGACCUGGA
rnacentral:piRNA from 1 species